GUUAACCUCGUCGGAUCAAAUAUGUUUUGGGAUCUACUUGGUGGAAUUUUUGAGUUUAUUUUCGGACUCUUGUUUCCCAGUUCCGGCAGCGGCGAUGAACCGGAUUCUGAGGAGGUUGAAACUACAUGAAGCCAAAUUCGAUUUUUUAACAAUGUAAUUUUGUAAAAGUUUCAUGUUUUCGCUUUAUUACAUCUACGUAGUGUGUAUAAUUAAUAUAAAUUGCUUCAACAGCUA